UACAGAGGUCCCAAGCGUUGUUCGGAUUCACUGGGCGUAAAGGGUGCGUAGGUGGCCAGGUAAGUUCGGUGUGAAAGCUCGGAGCUUAACUCCGAAAUGGCAUUGAAUACUAUCUGGCUGGAGGGUCGGAGGGGAGACUGGAAUUCUCGGUGUAGCAGUGAAAUGCGUAGAUAUCGAGAGGAACACCAGUGGGCGAAGGCGAGUCUCUGGACGACUCCUGACACUGAGGCACGAAAGCCAGGGGAGCAAACAGG
rnacentral:rRNA from 1 species